rnacentral:tRNA from 1 species
ACCUGGGUGGCUCAGUCGGUUGAGCGUCUGACUUCGGCUCAGGUCAUGAUCUCCCGGUUCGUGGGUUCGAGCCCCGCGUCGGGCU